UUCUAAGAAGAUUGACAGAUUGAGAGCUCGUUCUUGAUUCGGUGGAUGGUGGUGCAUGUCCGUUUUUAGUUGGUGGAGCGAUUUGUCUGGUUAAUUCCAUUAACGAACAAAACUCCAGCCUAUUAAAUAGGUGCGUGGUUCUCUGCAAUUAGCACCCUUCAUAGAGGAACGAGCGUCUUCUAGCCGCACGAAAGAUAGCAAUAACAGGUCUGUGAUGCCCUUAGAU
rnacentral:ncRNA from 1 species